GAUAUCAACAAGUCCUCCAACUCAUACGACCGUAUGGGUCGUUUGUCACUAUCCAUAAAUACGACCCACACGAGCGUUCUCUAAAUUAGCGCCCCUAUUGGCAACAGGAGGUAUGAUAAAUGAACUUUCGCCUAAAUGCAUUGUGGGUUUAUUUUAACAUGUUUGCUAUUUGCGUUUUGAAUUGUUUGAUUUAAACUCUCCCAGAUGUUCGUGGAUUUUGAUGAUAUGGAUUUUAGAUGACUUCGAGACAUGUACAGUUUUGCAGUUUCUUCAUAUCACAUACAUCUCCAGCUCCUACAACAACAUUCAGUGUCCAGCAGCUCUUUAUGAUGCUCUCUCUCUCUCUCUCUCUCUCUCUUUCUCUCUCUCUCUCUCUCUCUCUCUCUCUCUCUCUCUCAUUUUCCUUUCCUAUUUUUCUGAACUGUAAUUCAUAAAUAAGUCACACAUAUUUUUCUUUCUUUCUCUUGUUCAUCAUGGCAUAUUUUCACAGCUCAGAAUCAGAUUUUGAUCAGUUCUUGUAUUAACAGGGAACUUGUACUCGAAGCUCAACUUGAAGAAGUUUCCAGUGAAGAUGAAGUCCUUCAAAGGUUCGACACAGCUGAAAAGGAAGACCAUGGGCCUGUCAAACCUUGUUUGUGGAGAGGGAUGAAUUUGACCAUCUUGUGUGUUUACGGAGAAGACCAAAAGCUGCUAAGGCAGAUAUUUCCAGAGGUACAAACAGAGCGGAUGGUUGCAUGAUGGCCUCUUUCAGGUUUGUCAACUGAAUGUCUACUAGUGUGGCUCAGCAAGUUCCUGUCAUGAUCAGCCCUCUCCAAGAAAGCUGAAGAGCAAAAACACAAAGAACAUCAGUCCUGUUGGGGAUGAGGAAUGAACAUGGCUCUAUUGUGCCCAAACAGAAAAGAGUGAAAAGUCCUAGAAUGAACAAAUCAUCAGGGCAUCAUUUCUGGAAUUUGGGCAGAAAAUGACUGAAUAUGAAAGACUGCAGUAGAAGGAAAGCUGGUACUGAGAACAUUUGUCUUCACUCCAGACUAAAGAGAAGCGGGUCUGAGGCCAGAGAUGGAGGAGUCAAUGGUCACCAAAUGCAGCGCUGCAGCCUGAAACUGUGAAGACUGAAUUCCCAAACAGCUGUGUGACUGCACAGAUGUUACGGCCAUAAAAGAAACUUCACAACUGAGAGCCCAUACCUCCAACAACCUUCAACAGAAAUCAAUGGACAUCUACGCAAGGUUUUUCUUUUGUUGAGGACCGUCAGAGACUCCAGCCACACGAGCCAUGGAUUGCUCUCAACAUCACCAUCAGACAGACAUUAUCACAGAACCAGCACCAGCAGACUGCAAAACAAGUUCCUUCAACAGGCAAUCAGACUGAACUGAACUCGUACCAGUAACACCACACACACACACACACACACACACACACAUACACACACCAGCAGCCUCAUACUGUGUGCACUGCACUCUAUCAGCUACACUGACUGGACUCUGACUCACUAUUAUUCUGCAACCUGAUAUUCUGUUUGCACUAAUUCAUACUGUACUGAAAGUGAAAGUGACGUGACAUACAGUCAAGUAUGGUGACCCAUACUCAGAAUUUGUGCUCUGCAUUUAACCCAUCCGAAGUGCACACACACAGAGCAGUGAACACACACACACUGUGAACACACACCCGGAGCAGUGGGCAGAGGUAUAUCUACAGUAUACAGUGAUUGUUGUUAAUUGUUUUCAUUUUGUUCUCUCUGUAUAGUAUAGUAUUGCACUAUAUUUUCUACCUGUAUUGAGCUCUUAUGUAUACGGUUUAUAUUUUUGAUACUGUGUAUGUGUUGCAAAUAUAUUCAGUACUUGUCAUGCUGCAGUUUGCAGAAAAGCAUUUUACCACCUGUAUACUUGCAUUCAUGGUAUUGUGAUAAUAAAAUGAUUUGAUUUGAAUUGG